rnacentral:rRNA from 4 species
UUAAGUUAUUAAGGGCGCACGGUGGAUGCCUUGGCACUAGAAGCCGAUGAAGGACGUUACUAACGACGAUAUGCUUUGGGGAGCUGUAAGUAAGCUUUGAUCCAGAGAUUUCCGAAUGGGGAAACCCAGCAUGAGUUAUGUCAUGUUAUCGAUAUGUGAAUACAUAGCAUAUCAGAAGGCACACCCGGAGAACUGAAACAUCUUAGUACCCGGAGGAAGAGAAAGAAAAUUCGAUUCCCUUAGUAGCGGCGAGCGAAACGGGAAGAGCCCAAACCAACAAGCUUGCUUGUUGGGGUUGUAGGACACUCUAUACGGAGUUACAAAGGACGACAUUAGACGAAUCAUCUGGAAAGAUGAAUCAAAGAAGGUAAUAAUCCUGUAGUCGAAAAUGUUGUCUCUCUUGAGUGGAUCCUGAGUACGACGGAGCACGUGAAAUUCCGUCGGAAUCUGGGAGGACCAUCUCCUAAGGCUAAAUACUCUCUAGUGACCGAUAGUGAACCAGUACCGUGAGGGAAAGGUGAAAAGCACCCCGGAAGGGGAGUGAAAUAGAACCUGAAACCGUGUGCUUACAAGUAGUCAGAGCCCGUUAAUGGGUGAUGGCGUGCCUUUUGUAGAAUGAACCGGCGAGUUACGAUUUGAUGCAAGGUUAAGCAGUAAAUGUGGAGCCGUAGCGAAAGCGAGUCUGAAUAGGGCGUUUAGUAUUUGGUCGUAGACCCGAAACCAGGUGAUCUACCCUUGGUCAGGUUGAAGUUCAGGUAACACUGAAUGGAGGACCGAACCGACUUACGUUGAAAAGUGAGCGGAUGAACUGAGGGUAGCGGAGAAAUUCCAAUCGAACCUGGAGAUAGCUGGUUCUCUCCGAAAUAGCUUUAGGGCUAGCCUCAAGUGAUGAUUAUUGGAGGUAGAGCACUGUUUGGACGAGGGGCCCCUCUCGGGUUACCGAAUUCAGACAAACUCCGAAUGCCAAUUAAUUUAACUUGGGAGUCAGAACAUGGGUGAUAAGGUCCGUGUUCGAAAGGGAAACAGCCCAGACCACCAGCUAAGGUCCCAAAAUAUAUGUUAAGUGGAAAAGGAUGUGGCGUUGCCCAGACAACUAGGAUGUUGGCUUAGAAGCAGCCAUCAUUUAAAGAGUGCGUAAUAGCUCACUAGUCGAGUGACACUGCGCCGAAAAUGUACCGGGGCUAAACAUAUUACCGAAGCUGUGGAUUGUCCUUUGGACAAUGGUAGGAGAGCGUUCUAAGGGCGUUGAAGCAUGAUCGUAAGGACAUGUGGAGCGCUUAGAAGUGAGAAUGCCGGUGUGAGUAGCGAAAGACGGGUGAGAAUCCCGUCCACCGAUUGACUAAGGUUUCCAGAGGAAGGCUCGUCCGCUCUGGGUUAGUCGGGUCCUAAGCUGAGGCCGACAGGCGUAGGCGAUGGAUAACAGGUUGAUAUUCCUGUACCACCUAUAAUCGUUUUAAUCGAUGGGGGGACGCAGUAGGAUAGGCGAAGCGUGCGAUUGGAUUGCACGUCUAAGCAGUAAGGCUGAGUAUUAGGCAAAUCCGGUACUCGUUAAGGCUGAGCUGUGAUGGGGAGAAGACAUUGUGUCUUCGAGUCGUUGAUUUCACACUGCCGAGAAAAGCCUCUAGAUAGAAAAUAGGUGCCCGUACCGCAAACCGACACAGGUAGUCAAGAUGAGAAUUCUAAGGUGAGCGAGCGAACUCUCGUUAAGGAACUCGGCAAAAUGACCCCGUAACUUCGGGAGAAGGGGUGCUCUUUAGGGUUAACGCCCAGAAGAGCCGCAGUGAAUAGGCCCAAGCGACUGUUUAUCAAAAACACAGGUCUCUGCUAAACCGUAAGGUGAUGUAUAGGGGCUGACGCCUGCCCGGUGCUGGAAGGUUAAGAGGAGUGGUUAGCUUCUGCGAAGCUACGAAUCGAAGCCCCAGUAAACGGCGGCCGUAACUAUAACGGUCCUAAGGUAGCGAAAUUCCUUGUCGGGUAAGUUCCGACCCGCACGAAAGGCGUAACGAUUUGGGCACUGUCUCAACGAGAGACUCGGUGAAAUCAUAGUACCUGUGAAGAUGCAGGUUACCCGCGACAGGACGGAAAGACCCCGUGGAGCUUUACUGUAGCCUGAUAUUGAAAUUCGGCACAGCUUGUACAGGAUAGGUAGGAGCCUUUGAAACGUGAGCGCUAGCUUACGUGGAGGCGCUGGUGGGAUACUACCCUAGCUGUGUUGGCUUUCUAACCCGCACCACUUAUCGUGGUGGGAGACAGUGUCAGGCGGGCAGUUUGACUGGGGCGGUCGCCUCCUAAAAGGUAACGGAGGCGCUCAAAGGUUCCCUCAGAAUGGUUGGAAAUCAUUCAUAGAGUGCAAAGGCAUAAGGGAGCUUGACUGCGAGACCUACAAGUCGAGCAGGGUCGAAAGACGGACUUAGUGAUCCGGUGGUUCCGCAUGGAAGGGCCAUCG